rnacentral:lncRNA from 1 species
AGAAAAUACCUCUUCAGGAUCAGAUUCUACAUCUGAUGUGUUUCCAUAAGUGGUAGCCAUGUGUAAUACCCCAAAAUUUACCCUUCAUUUUUCCUGGAAGCAUACACUUUACACCUCAUGCAUGCAUUAAUUUUUGGGUCAUUUAGCAUUUGCAUUUCAUCAUGGCAAUCAGAAUAUCUUUUUUGAAAAAAAAAAGGAAAAAAAC